rnacentral:rRNA from 1 species
AUACGUAGGGGGCGAGCGUUGUCCGGAAUGAUUGGGCGUAAAGGGCGCGUAGGCGGCCCGGUAAGUCUGGAGUGAAAGUCCUGUUUUUAAGAUGGGAAUUGCUUUGGAUACUGUCGGGCUUGAGUGCAGGAGAGGUAAGUGGAAUUCCCAGUGUAACGGUGAAAUGCGUAGAGAUUGGGAGGAACACCAGUGGCGAAGGCGACUUACUGGACUGUAACUGACGCUGAGGCGCGAAAGUGUGGGGAGCAAACAGGAUUAGAUACCCUGGUAGUCCACACUGUAAACGAUGAAUGCUAGGUGUAGGGGGUAUCGACCCCUUCUGUGCCGCAGUCAACACAAUAAGCAUUCCGCCUGGGGAGUACGGCCGCAAGGUUGAAACUCAAAUGAAUUGGCGGGG